UCUAGAGCUAAUACAUGCUGAAAAUCCCGACUUCGGAAGGGACGUAUUUAUUAGAAUCAGAACCAAUGCCCUUCGGGGUUUUCUGGUGACUCAUGAUAACUCCACAGAUCGCAUGGCCUUGCGCCGGCGAUGGCUCAUUCAAAUUUCUUCCCUAUCAACUUUCGACGGUACGGUCUUGGCCUACCGUGGUUGUAACGGGUGACGGAGGGUUAGGGCUCGACCCCGGAGAAGGAGCCUGAGAAACGGCUACUACAUCCAAGGAAGGCAGCAGGCGCGCAAAUUAUCCAAUCCCGACUCGGGGAGAUAGUGACAAUAAAUACCGAUACAGGGCUCUUUUGGGCCCUGUAAUUGGAAUGAGUACAAUUUAAACCUCUUAACGAGGAACAAUUGGAGGGCAAGUCUGGUGCCAGCAGCCGCGGUAAUUCCAGCUCCAAUAGCGUAUAUUAAAGUUGUUGUGGUUAAAAAGCUCGUAGUCGAACCUCGAGCCUGGCCGGCCGGUCCGCCUCACCGCGUGCACUGGUCUGGCCGGGCUCUUCCCUCUGCGGAACCGCAUGUCCUUCACUGGGCGUGUCGGGGAGGCAGGACUUUUACUUUGAAAAAAUUAGAGUGCUCAAGGCAGGCCAAUGCUCGAAUACAUUAGCAUGGAAUAAUAGAAUAGGACGUUGGUUCUAUUUUGUUGGUUUCUAGGACCGCCGUAAUGAUCAAUAGGGACGGUCGGGGGCAUCAGUAUUCAGCCGUCAAAGGUGAAAUUCUUGAACCGGCUGAAGACUAACUACUGCGAAAGCAUUUGCCAAGGACGUUUUCGCUGAUCAGGAACGAAAGUUAGGGGAUCGAAGACGAUCAGAUACC
rnacentral:rRNA from 1 species